rnacentral:lncRNA from 1 species
AAGAGGGGGGGGGCAAGGGGGGUCCCAAUAACAGCAAAACAGCAAAUUGAUUUGGCUCAUAACAGAUAACAAGGAAUUAAAAUGGACAAAAACAGAUAACAGUAAAUGAAAUAUUAAAAUAAUUCGGUCUUUGACAAAUCAGUAUUUCUUAUUACGGAUAUAAUCCUUUGUAAUGCAUUCCACUUUCUAUGACUAUGUUUUUAGUAUUAAUUUAUGUAUCUAGAAUGUGUUUAAAUUACUACUCAAUAUAUUAUAAUAUUUUUUAUAUGCUCGUUUACGGAACGUAUUAUGGUAUACUGUUGUCCGUCUGUUGUCAACA